rnacentral:rRNA from 1 species
UUCUGACCUCGAAUCAGGUGGGACUACCCGCUGAACUUAAGCAUAUCAAUAAGCGGAGGAAAAGAAACUAACAAGGAUUCCCUUAGUAACUGCGAGUGAAGUGGGAUGAGCUCAAAUUUAAAAUCUGGURGUCUUUGGCUGCCCGAGUUGUAAUCUAGAGAAGUGUUUUCUGUGCUGGACUGUGUUUAAGUUUCCUGGAUAUGGAACAUCAUAGAGGGUGAGAAUCCCGUCCUUAACACAGACACCCCAGUGCUCUGUGAUGCACUCUCGACGAGU